rnacentral:lncRNA from 1 species
GCGGCCAUUUGUAAACAAGUGCUUGCCAACAAUUUUCGAAAAUUUUCAUAAAAUUGAUUCAUAUUAUGGUAAGUUUGAUGUUUGUGACCUUAAACUACACGAAGAACAUAUAAACGGAUCUCCUGUUGUUGGUGAUCGCAAUACUGGUAUACCAGUAUUGUCGACAAUACAGGUAUAAAAAUAUUGUAAUGUACCAGCUAUAUUUUAACUUUAAAAAACCCCAAAAAAACCACAAUACUGAGGGGGGAUAGGACCCUUAUCAGGACUCUGGGAUCGGGUGUUUUUAAGCUCGGGAUUUCGGGAUCCGGGAAUUCUUUUUUCGAAUUUCGGGACCUCGGGAUUUCGUUUUUUAUAAGCCCGGGAUUUCGGGAUUUCGAUUUUUUAAACUCGGGAUUUCGGGAUCAGGACCCCUCCUACCCUCCCUCAAUAAUUGUUACAUUACUUAUCUACCAGUAUUGUAGUUGUAUUGUUGACUGUACUUUAAGGUGUACAUGUAUAUUAAUGAAAAAUGAAUUUUAAGCAAAAUAUGAUCAUGAUGAUAUUGAAGUUCAAAGGUAUAUUUAGUCCAAAUAAUUAUGACGUCUUGAAAGGCUCUUAUAUUUUUUUUCUUUGACGCCUUACAUAGAAGUAAGGCGUCAAAGAAAACAUCCAAUUAACACCUUCAACUUUGUACUCGCGUCAGACUAUAUAAUUACACGCGCCAUAAUAUACAAUCUUUGUAAAUAGUGAACACCUGACAGGCUGUUGAAAACUCAAGAUUGUCAUUGUCAUUAAUUCCCUUUAAUCUUCAAUCGAUAUGCAUAAACAUGAUAAAUAUCAUAAAAUGAGGCAAUACACAAAGUAAAAUGAUUUCACAAUUUGUUUCUGUAUUUCUGGACAAUGAUGCACAAAUAAUGCAUUUUGCAAGUUUAUUUAUAUAUGUACAAAGAGAGUUUUAAAAACAAUUUAUAAGAUAAAUACAUGAAAUUCAUUGUAUAUUAUGUUCUAAAACACAAGUAAAAGUAAUAGGAUACAUGUCAACUGGUACUUUCCGCAACUCGUACUCAACCAACUUGUACCCUAUUUUUACCAACUCGUACUUCUACUAAGUCGUACCCAAUAUUUUUUGACAUUAUAAUAUACAAAUAUAGCAUUUGUAUGAGGUCGAUACAAGGAUUAAAUUGUCUCCGUGACAAUAACAACAUAUUCAUGAUAUUAGUUGUUAUUUCUUAACUUUAUUUUUGGACAUCUUAUGUAUUUGAAGAUUUUUUUCGUCAAAUCAUCGAUCACAGAUAUCAUUUGUUUCAAAACGUUAAACAAUAUCCUGAAAUUCCUUACAUGACGUCACAAAGUGUAUCGGUUUUUAGAUAUUCUAAAAAUAACCGUGCAAUAUGCUUUUUGCCGGUCAAUAUGCUUUUUGCUAUCCGCCGUUUUCUCUCUACCUUCGAAAAUAUAGUUUAACAUGUGACUAUCCCUAAACAAUCAAAUUUGUUAAAAUAUACGAAUUAAUAAUAUUAUAAGUUACCGACGUUCAUAUUCGUAGAUAUGGAUAUUUUAACACCCUGAAGUAGAUCUAGAUCCAUAGAAUAUUUGAAAAGGAUAUUUUGUACUGAAUAUUGCGAUGGACAUGUCGUUGUUUUCCCGUGAUAGAAGAAACUGUUUUUCCAUUAUAAUGCUUCAUAUUUUAUUAUUUUCUAGCUGUUCUACUGAUAGGAUUUAUAUCUAAAAAAAUCCUCAAGUGUUUCGCUCGAUCCAUAGAAUAUUUGAAGAGAUUUUUUACUGAAUACUGUGAUAGACACGUGUUUGUUGAUGUGUUAAUAUUUGUGUUAUAUAAAUAUGGCAGUCAGUUCGUUUUCUCGUUUGAAUUGUUUUACAUUGUCAUUUCGGGGCCUUUUAUAGCUGACUGUAUGUGGUAUGGGUGGGCUUUGCUCAUUGUUGAAAACCGUACGAUUACAUAUAGCUUUUAAUUUCUGUGUCAUUUUGUCUCUUUUGUCUCUUCAGUGAGGAUGGUGAUUGUUUAACCCUUUCCUCCAUAAUGACGCCUUUUGACGCCACCCCCUUUACUCCAUAAUGACGCCUUUUGACGCCUGUGUAGUACCUCAGUUGAAACGCUAUGUCUCCAAAAUGUCUGCAUCAAACUUAAAAAAAAUUGUAUCCAAUAUGAAAAGGAGAUUCAUGAGAAUAUCUGACUUGAAUUUCAUUGAUGAAAUAUUAGUUUUCACAAUGCAUUAACACUUUAAACCUGAUGAUUUUUUUUACUGAAAAAAAUCCUAUGCGAAUCAAGUAUUCAAAAAAAAAAUAUCCAUGGAGUAAAGGGUUAAGUAUAACUCAACGGCCUUUGAUGUUCAUAGUGCGCACUUAUACCGAAUUUUUGUUUUCUUUUACUUCUCUAUGUUUAUUCUACUUUUAACAAAUCCAUUCUUUUUUUGUAGGUAUGUUAUACACUAAUGACCACUGAUUAGUAUAUUGUGUACUCAUAAUUAUUUUAAUGUGCAUAUCAAAUAAAUUGCCGUCCAAACAAUUUCAAACAAUCAAUUCUAAGGAAUACUAAUGAUUAUAAUGAUUUGCAUUUGGUAAGCUUUGAUAUAUAUAUUUAAAACAAUUAUGAUUGCAUUUUAUUAACAAUAAAAGUUUUUUUUAUUUAUAUGUUGCUAUAAUGAUAUACGAAAGAAAAUUACAACAACUAUGCAUAUAAAUAAUAUCAAAUAAAGCAAGGGUACGAGUUGGUAAAAAUAGGGUACGAGUUAGUUGAGUAUGAGUUGCCGAAAGUACGAGUUGUCGUGUACACAUAAUAUCAUAAUAUGUAACAACAGGGUAAAUGUAAUACUUGCUGUUAUACAUAAUAAAUAAUAAAAUAUCAUGUAAAUAAACAUGAUAAAUGUAGCAAUUAGAUCUAUCAUUGUCUAUGUUUCAAUUUUUUUUCUAUCAAUAUUAACUUUCUUGUCACUAAAAUUGUUUUCUUUUGUAUAUUCUUUUAAUAUUAGUUUGGAAUAAGUUAUUUUAAUAAAAAAAAUAUUUUCUUGUCGCUAAAUAGUUUCUUGACGCUUCUUGUCGCUAAAAUUCUUCUUGUCACUAAUUAGUAAGGCCAGUGAAAUCAAUUAACAACCAGUUAAAAUUAAUUACUAGUCACUUGUACAAAAAAAACAAAAGAUUAUAGUAAUUACAUGUAUCUCACAUUAUUCAAACAAUUCAUAUAAAUAAUUGCUAAUAAUUUUAUCACAUUUCUAUAUUUUAUUUGAUUCAACUGAGAUAAAAUAAAAGGAAAUAAAAGCUUAAUUUGAUUUUUAUUAUCUGAGUUAUUAUUAAUUCUAAUAAAUUCAAGCAAAUUAUUACACUAUAUCGCUGUCAAUUCAGCAUUUUCAUACAUGUACAUGGUAUAGAUGUACUAAGAUCAUAUCGUCGCUGGGCUUCUAAAAUGUUGUAAAUUACAAAUUUUUCAAGAAAAAAAUUUCUCACAAACAUGCAGGCUUUGAAAAUUUUGGCAAAAUGCAUGCUUCCAAAAUGUCGUAUGUGAACUUGAACAUUUUUGUAAAUAGCAGUGAAAUAAAAACGUUGACAUCUCUGGAUUAUCCAAGAACUUAAAUUAUUUUCACAGAAAUAAAGAAAUGUACAAUUAUUUUUUUUCCAAAGCCAUUCUACAACGAUUUUCAAGUUUUCAUACCACAUUUUGGAAGCAAACUUUACAAACAACUGACAUUGGCAAUUUUGUAAUAUGUCUUAUUUCACACAUUUUGAUUGGUCUAACUGUGUGCUAUUUUGUGAUACCAAAGAUUUCUUCCCGCCCAGACCAUUGGUGUCAAAAAGUAUUUUUAGCCUAAAAAGUCAUAUACAACAUUUUAGAAGCCCAGCGACGAUAUGCAUUUGUUGGUCUUUAUUUUCUUAUUAAUCUUUUUCAAUAAACAUGAUAAAAGAUAUCAAUAUCUAUUUAACAUAAAAAGAUGCUUAAUAGAGAAACCUGUGCAGAUUACAUGUAUAAUCAAAUUAACUAGUUCGUCUACAUAAAUGUUAGGGUAGUUAAAGCAGUUGAUUCAGACCAUGGGCAAUACAAUUUGUAGCAGAUAUAUAUCUACUGGUACAAAUUCUCAAAUACUAAUACAUGUAUUAGACAAGUACUCCUACAGUAAGAGAGCCAUACAGGUGCUAUCUAAACAAGCUUGUUACUUGUAAUUUAGUAGCGUAAGAGAAAGUCCACAGACUGAAUAUCUAAACAUCAAUAUAGGAAGUGGGGGUUAAAGAAAUGCGAUCUGAAGAAGAAAUAAACAAUACACAUGAUACAAAUGCUGAUGAUACAGAAGCUAUAUCAGCAUAAAUGUCAAAAUAAAAUUCCCUAAAAUACACUAUUGAGUCUUGGAAAGAGAGAGCUGGAAGAAAACAUAGAAGAAUGUAAAGAGUUUGUUAAAAUGCUGAGACAGUACGGUUCCCUUUUUAAAAGAAAAAAAAAUCAGAAGAUUUUGAUUACAAUUGAUAUCACAGUGUACCAUAAAUGGCAUCAUCAGUUAAACAUACAAUAAUUCCAUAUAAAAUUGUCAUGUCAUAUGUUAAUAUCAUUAUGCAUAUAUAUAUAUAUGUUGUGUACAUUAGAUGUAAUUUUGUACAAAUUAUAAUUUGUACAGGGUUUUUGUACAAGUUAUAAGUAUUUUUACAUCUACCUUCUUGCAACAAGUGAUAAAAGUUUAUCUUUCAAAAUAUAUCAGUUUACUGUCUUAAAUUCAAAUUUAUAUACUCCAACUUAACAUUUAGUGCUAUUCUCAUUGUCCUUAAACUGGAAAUGAGGAUAACCGAAUGGUUUAAAUUCUAAUUUUAUUUUUCUCCUUAUACCAAAAUCAUAUCCAUAAAAAGUCUGUUUGUGUUCUUAUAAUGUUUUUUUGCAUCGAUGCUCAGUAUAGACUGUAUCAUGUAGUUGUGGAAAAUUCACAAAAAUAAGCAAAACAAAAGACUGUGUACUUGCAUCAUACAGUUGUGUUGAGCGCUUCAUGAAACACUAAUAACUUGAACAAAAAAAUCUGUACAAAUUAUAAUUUGUACAACAUUACAACUUGUACACAACAUAUAUAUAUAUGUGACCCUGUAAUAAAAGAUUAAUUACCUAUAUAUAUAUAUGUUGUGUACAAGUUAUCAUUUUGUACAAAUUAUAAUUUGUACAAAAAGAAUGUACAAAUUAUAAUUUGUAUUUUGACUUUGUACAAAUUGUAAUUUGUACAAAAAGUGCCUGUACAAAUUACAAUUUGUACAAAAAUCGACUAAAAUUCACUUAUAACUUGUACAAUAAUUUAUAGUAUGGAUUGUGGUAUAAAAAAAUAAUUGAUACACACUAUAGAACCUUAUAAACCUUAUUUACAAAAUGCAAAAACACCCAGAGACAGCAAAUGUAAUUGGUACAUGCAUGCCAGUUAAUUAUUAUAGCCGAAUAGAAAUUGGCCCCUGUGACAAUUCUGAUAGAAUAAUAGAAAAUGGCCUCAUUGAAAAUUCUGAUAGUAUAAUAGAAAUUGGCCCCACUCAGAAUUCUGAUAGUAUUUUUGAAAUUGGCCUCAGAGAAAAUUCUGAUAAUAUAAUAGAAAUUGGCCUCGCUAAGAACUCUGAUAGUAUAAUAGAAAUUAGCCACAUUGAAAAUUCAGAUAGUAUAAUAAAAAUUUGCCUCUGACAGAGAAAAUUCUGAUAGUAUAAUAGAAAUUGGCCCCAGUGAAAAUUCUAAUGGUAUAAUAGAAAUUGGCCUCUGUGAAUAUUCUGACAAAAUAAUAAAAAUUGGCCUUAGUGACAAUUCUGAUAUCUGCCCCAGUGACAAUUUUGAUAGUAUCAUAGGAACACACCAUCGUUGAAAAACAAAUCAUAUGUGCCAGGAACCGUGCGCUGUCUGACUAACAGAUCCAAGACGAAUCACCAUGAAAACGAAACAGAAAUUAUAAGAACUUGCUAUUGGGUAUAAUGUCAGUAUGAUCGUACAACUAAUCCUCGAUAUAUUUGUCUAAUAAUUGCAUCUGGAGAAUUUUGGUACAGUAUUUGAACUGCUGUAGGAAUUUUUUUCACAGCAACAUUUGUGCACUUCCAUAUUCGCUAUAAAAGCAGGAAAGGAUUUUUUUUUAUUUUGGGGGCAUAUACGAAUGUGAAAAGCAAAUGAUUCUGUGUUAUUCCCAUUGCCAUAAUUCACUCACAUACUCAAACAAAUGAUUCAGAAAUAUUUCUGUAUUUUGUUAAUAUUAAAGGUUGAUUGUGUGGUCAUGGAAUACAACUUCUUUAGUGUGUAUCAAUGCUUUUAUAUAACAAGGUCCAUACCAUAAAUUAUUGUACAAGUUAUAAGUGAAUUUAAGUCAAAUUUUGUACAAAUUAUAAUUUGUACAAGCACUUUUUGUACAAAUUACAAUUUGUACAAAGUCAAAAUACAAAUUAUAAUUUGUACAAUAUUUUUGUACAAAUUAUAAUUUGUACAAAAUGAUAACUUGUACACAACAUAUAUAUGACUUUUGUAUUGUUUAUUUAAAAAAAAGACACUACCAGUAUUGUGCACAAUACUACAAUGUAGUAUAUAUGUACCAGUAUUGUGAUCUCCAACUGCAGUAUAUAUAGUAAAAUGAUGUGUUACAAAAAUAUUAUUAUAUUUAUGCAUUAAAUUCAGUUAAAUUGCAAUUGUAUACAACUUACAACAUGUACAAUAUGUAUUGAUAUUAUCAUGAUUAUAGUCAUGAUAGUUGCCAGUUAAGGUUUAUGUACCCUUCUGUAGCCAUUUUUGUACGAACUUUUCAAACUUCAAUUGUAUCAAAACUACAGAUAUAAUGAAUAAUAGUAUAGGCCAUUUUGUACAUAUUCCAAGGGGAAACUUGAUGCAAAGCAUUAUUUUUUACUGUUCCAUUGCAUUUAAUAAAAAAAGAGGACUUUGUGGCAAAUAAAUCAAGAUUUUUAUAGAAUAUCCACAGCCUUUAUCCUUGUACUCUCAUAUUUGGCAAUUUGAUGACUGAUAUAUAUAGGAUUAUUGCAUGCAGUGCUAGCAUUGAUUUCCUUAAAACAAGUUUAUAAAUGUAGUUAUUGGUUAAGACAAGUAUAAAUAUGGCCAAAAUCAAGUACACCUUUUAGGGUGCGCUCGACUUUAGUGACUCAGCACGAGGUGUUUUUGGAAUUUACAGGUUACUUAGAACUUUUUGUAAAAAAUAAACACUAGCACAUCAUAGAAAAUCAAGUGAGUAAUUUAUGUUUCAAAUUAUAUAACAAAAAUCUCUGUAUUAAAGGCUGUGGAUUUUCUAUAAAAUUCUUGAUUUAUUUGCCACAAAGUCCUCUUUUUCUAUCAAAUGCAAUGAAACAGUAAAAAAUAAUGCUUUACAUCAAGUUUCCCCUUGGAACAUGUACUAAAUGGCCUAUCUCUAUUAUUUAUUAUAUCUUUAGUUUUGAUGCAAUUGAGGUUUGAAAAAUUCGUACAAAAAUGGCUACAGAAGGGUACAUAAACCUUAAUGAAUAUUUUAUGUAUGAUAACACAAUACAUAAUACUUUGAAUUGAGCCUUUACCAAUAGACUAUUUUCACAUAAUUGACGUUUGACUCUGGUUUAUAUUAUUUUUAGACGGGUCACAUUUCAUGUGUGUGAUUUAAAGGGAAAUUUUACUAUUUUUCGCUGAGUUUGUCGUGUAAAGAAAAUAUGAAGCAGUAUAUUUUCCCAGAAGAAUUGUACUAAUUAAAUGUUUGAUUUUAGUUCUUUACGUUGCUUUUAAUUGACAGAGUACUAAGAUGUGGUAGGUAACCUGUUGAAAAAUAUUAUAAACCAGAAUCAAAAGUAGGUACAUGUAAUAUGAAAAUAAUAUAUUGUUAUAAUUGUGUUUGUACUAAUAUUUUUUUCUAUUUUAUGUUAAUUCGUUAGAUUUAAUUUUUUCAGUGUAAACAUCUAAAGAGCUAUUAGCAGAAAUGUGGCAAUAUUUUUGGCCCCACUUUGUUUACCAUCUAAUGAGAUGGUUUCCAAGAGACAACAGAAAGAAAAUGUAAGUGGCACAACUAGUAUAUUACAUGUACAUGUAUAUUGAAAAUGUGCUAUCAGUAUCUUUGUUGCAAUCAUGGUAAUAGAAAGUGUUGUGCGCAGCACAGAACAUUGAAGUAUUAAAAAUUAAUUUGUCUAAUAUACAUGCAUGUAGAUUUAAGGAUUGUAGUUGACAGUAAUUAAACAUGGUAAACAAAUAAGAAAAACAUAUUACAAAUACAUUUUACUAUGAUUAUUUGAAUUAUUAUGCUAUUCUAAUGUUUUUAUAGUCAGAAAAUUAAUGUAGACAAUUCAUGUAUUCAUAAUUUAUAGUUUUAGACAAAUUUUAAAAUGACCAUCUCAUUUCAAAUCAUAAUCAUUUAUUCAUUGUGACAGACAUGCAGAUUUGAAUUGUAGUACAUAUAUAUAUAUAUAUAUAUAUCAUGUACUGUAGUACGCCGCUAGAUUAAAACUGAUGAGGAAAGGUAACACACGGCCAGCGAAAGCUCUUUUUUUGAGAGCCCAGGUGGUUGUGUGGUCUAGCGGGACGGCUGCAGUGCAGGCGAUUUGGUGUCACGAUAUCAUAGUAGCCUGGGUUCGAAUCCCGGCGAGGGAAGAACCAAAAAUUUGCGAAAGCAAAUUUACAGAUCUAACAUUGUUGGGUUGAUGUUUAGACGAGUUAUAUAUAUAUAAUAUAUAUAUAUAUUCAUAAACAUCAUAAAUCAUCUUUAGUGAAAGCCUACUCUUGAUAAAUCAUUAAAGAAUUGAUUUCUUCCUAAAACUUGUUGACAUGUUGAAGUUUUGAUUUUUUAAAUUCUGAUUUGUAAUAUUUUUGUUCCAGAUUUAUAUUGUUGGCCAUCUUUUCCUUGGCCUUACUGGUACCCCAGUUUUAUGUACUGGUUCUUAAGAAGACAACAAGAUGGUGUAUCCAGCCUUUGUUUCAACUUCUCAUUGUAUCCAUAGUCUUCACAAUGAUUGCAAUAGGUGAGGUUAUAUAUGUAUUACAAAAUCUUUUACAAGCAGUUCAACGUCCUAAAUAAUGGUUUUAUGAUAGCUAGUCAGUUGUUUGUGUAUAAUUAAGGAAUAACAGUACUGUAGUUGAAGAGUUGCCACCGUCAAUUGUAGAUUUGACGGUCGCAAAUGCAGUUUUACUGGCGACGCGUAGAAAGAAGAGGGAAUGCAUGGAACUAUCAGAUAUUUAUAAUCUAAAUAAAAAACAAAGGAUGGUGUUUCCAUUCACAACUCAAAAUCAUGCUCAGCAAAAAAAACCACAAAAAGCAGAGAAACAGGGCUUUUGCUGUUCUUCAUCUCAAAGUCACAGUGAGGCCUUCAAUUAAAACAGAGCAAUACAUCCUCUAGCUUCAGGAUGAGUGGAAUAGGAGUAUGAAUUUAAGAACUUGACUAAAGUUUUUCUAAUAGCAGUUCACUUUGUUUGAAAUGUAUUGACAAUAAAUAAAACUUUGAUUUGAUGUUUUUGUCAUUGAUAAAGCUGUUCAGCAUCUUGGAGGAAAUGUAUCAAUUAUAAUCAGCAAUACAUAAUGUUGACGUUCGUUUCAGGUUUCACGUUACUGUUCAUGUUGAUGAACCCAGUACCAAGACUGAUCAAAUUUGUCUUCCAUGUUUUUGGCGUUAUUUGUUUCAUAGAAGGUUUGGUACAUAUUGGACUGACAUCACAAGCUGCAGAAUGUGUAAGUCUUUUUAAGAAAGUUUUUUUUAGGAAUUUCUUUAUUAUAAAUAUUUAUAUACCGUUUUUUAGUUAUUCUCCAUUGUCAUUGAAGAUAAUAAAAUUUUGAAAUUUUCCACUUUGUUUUAUUUUCUAUUCAUAAAGGUUAGCAUCAUGUAUGAAUUUUAUGUUGCUUGAUCAUUUCAAUCUUUUAAUGAUUCAUUUCAAAAUGGAUUUUCAUCUUUUUAUUUAUUAGAGCCAAGAAAUUGCAUUUCUAAACUAUCCAAAUGUUCUGAUAAGAGAAGUAGUUUCACAAGUUUUUAUUUAUUUCUAUUUGACCUUCUUUAAUAAUCACAUUAAUUUUACACCGUAACUUUUAUGCAAUUUUCAGUGUUUAUCAAUUUUUAGACUCCCGUAAAGUGUGGUUGAAAAAAAAAUGCUUUUCAUGAAAACUAUAAAUAGUUUUAAAAUAUAUGUGUUUAAGUAGAAGAAAGAAAGAAACCAGCUUUAUUAAAGAAUUGGAUGCUCAAUUUUAAGUAAAUUCAUUGGGUUGUAAAAGCAUUGACCAAAAGUACUAAAAAUGUCUGCACUGUCAAUGCUUUUACAACCCUAUGAAAUUACUAAAAGAAGCAUUCAAUACUUAUAAUUACAUAUUUCGCUAUGAUCAUGAAAACAUGAUUACAAUUUUGUAUAUAGAUGUUUCCAUUCUCUAUUCUGUGUAUGUUUUUACAGAAAAAUACCACAGAUGAAUUAUAUCAGAUAUGUUACGGGUACAGCUGGGUGUGCGCUAUUAGCAUUAGUAAGUUUCAUUAUAUGAAUUCCAAAUUAUAAAUAGAAGAAGAUGUGGUAUGAUCAUCAAUUAAAUCAUAAAAUGAUUAAAGGCCAAAUGAUUUUAAAAUUAGUAAAAUUUCAGCAUGUUUGCAUAAAUUAGACUUUCAGUUGUUACAUUUAAAAACACAAAUUUCAAGCUUUUCUCCAGACUACAGACUGAAACAGAUUCUCUUAUUUAGUAAGGAUUAUAUGUGUAUUAUAAUGUAAAGAUAAUAGGAAGCUUUAAGUUAACAUUUUGUGAUCUUGUAUAGGCUCUAUUGUCAGAGAAGUUGUUUUGAGACAUAAACCCUCUGGUUCAAUAUGUCUAAAUUUUACACACUAUUUAUAAAUUACACAGGAUUGAUAGUCAAGCUUAGAAUGUCACAUGGAAUAAUUCUUUGUGUACUAAUUGUUCCUGCCAAAAAAGUGUCCUUUUUAUAAAAUUGAACAACUUAAUUCAUUAAACUUAGUACAAUGUCGUAUAAACAGUAAGAAAAGUGGCUUUGACUGAAAACUGAUUCCCAAUGGAACCAAAUGAGAUUUGUUUUUGCUACAAAAUCUGAAAAAUAGAGUAAAUUUUAUCAAUGCAUAUAAGAAAAUUUGGCAUGAUUGCGGAUGAGACCAUUUUCCUUGAGAGAUUAAAUGACAAAGAAAUUUACAUCUUUCUGUCACCAUACACUCUUCAACAAUGAGUAAAACUUUAACCCAUACUGCAUGGAUAGCUACAAAAGGUAUAACAUCUUUGAUUGAAAAAUUUGACCAAAUUUAAAACAUUUUCUAUGAAUAAGUAAUUUUAAUUUACCAAUUGACCCAUUGAACCAUUAACCCUUUACUAUGAAGUAAUAUAUAAAGCGUCUGCAUCAGAAAUGUAUAGGGAAAUGAGCUUAUGAAAAUCUUUUAAAUGUAAGGAAGUUAUUAUUAACAUGAUAUUUUAUUUCAGUUUUCUUCUUUUUGAUUCUUUUUCCUAUAGUUUAAGAGCAUAUUAAAUUUUAAUAUAAAAUUGAUAUUUUAUUUCAGUUUUCUACUUUUUGAUUCUUUUUCUAUAUUUUUAAGAGCAUAUUAAAUUUUAAUAUUAACAUGAUAUUUUAUUUCAGUUUUCUUCUUUUUGAUGUUACCUUUCUGGGUUAUUAAUGUGGUGAAGAGAGACAGCGUGUUAGAUCCCAGAAUGAGAACAGGUGUAUGUUAUGAACCAGUCAGUUGUUGUUCCUGUCUUUGGCAUGUCUAGUGACAAAAUAGAGGAAAGAAACAACAGAUGAGGCAUUUAAGUCAGCCGUGUUUUCACUGAAAUUUGCAAUAAUAAUUUAAGAUAUCUGUGUAAUUAUGUUUUAUAAGAAUUUGGGAAAAUUCAAGGAAAAUCAUGAAGUUUUGUAUAGCCAUCAUGAUAUAAGAAUUGAUAAGACUAUACUAGUAUUUUAAGGCACCCUUGAUGUACUUUGUGAGAAUGUAUUUUCAUUCAAACUCUUGAUUUUUGUCAUUUGCAAGUACAUUGUAAUUAAAUGAGGGAGUGCAUACAAGAACUAACCAGAUCAUUUGCCAUUGUAAUGUAUAAUCAAUAAAUCCUGUUUAAUGAAUAACCAGUUCAUGAUUAUGAUCAAUGCUCUAGCUCACAGUUCUGUUACAGAUUUAUAUUGGUGUAAAAAUAAAGAUAUUUUUUAUUUUAUUUUCCUAAAAUGGAAUUGAAUAUUUUUAAAAGUAUUUCAAAGACUUUUCAGUUCAGACUUUGAGAAUGGCAAUAUUUUCAAAUCAAAAUUUUUUUAAAUUUUUUAUAUUUUCAUCUAAUAUAGAUAUUUAGCAUUUCAUUAUAUAACCACAUUCAGUAUAUGCAAUUUGCGGCCUUGGAUUUGUUCAUAUUGUAAUCACUGUAUGACUAUUUUUUUUUUAAUGUAAAACAUAAUUGAGAAAUUAGCAUUCCAUUAUUUUACAUUUUAUUGUAGUCUAACUUAGUAUCCUAUCAUAUGCUUAUUGAGCAUCCAUUGUACAUUGUUUUCUUCCAUAUAAUACUCUAUUUUUGAAUAAGUUAAAAAUUUUAAAAACAUUUUGUGCAAUGCUAAUUGAUGUCAUUUAAUGUUUUGCCCUUUACUUUAGAUAUAUGUCAAAAUCUUUUAAAUAAAAAACAAGAUUAUGUCUAACACUAUCACAUUUGCAUGUCUGGUUAACCACAGAGUCUAGAUCAAAACCAUAAGUUGGCAUACAUAAUAAAGUACGUAAAACCUAACUUUGACCUUAAUGUGGGAUAGAAGGAUGCGUGUACCAUUAAUUAUAAUGCCCUUAUUUUAAACAUAUUUAUUUAUAGUGGAUUGGGAAACAAUUUAUUGGAACUUAUAUUAAUCCCUCUCUACUUUGUGGGUGGGAGUGCUGCCUUGUAGUAUCAUUAGCCUGGUCUUUUUCGAAAUCUACAAGGGUGUCUUUUACAUGCAAGAGAUAUGGCUCUCUUAACAUAGGUCAUCCAUUUAUCAUCCCCUUCUGACAGACUAUCAUCGUUUCCUCUAGACCAUAUCCCUUGUUAUAAUAGGUAUGGUAAAAAUAAGAAAAUCAAAUGAUAACAAUUUAUUCCAAAUUAGCACUUUUUUCAAGCAAGUUAGUAUUUUUUUUAAAGUACAACAAAAAAGAGAAUAGUGGGCCAAAAAAAAUAAAGAAUACAAAAAAUGUGUGCCCAAAAUUGAAAAACAGGAAACUUAGGGGAUGCUGAUUCAAGAGAUAAAAGAACAGAGAAUUAUUGAUAGAUUUAAAAAAAAAAAAAAUUUGCCUUUGCAUGUUCCAGUAAAAGAUGUUUGUAAUAAUGUUGAAUUAAUAAAGACCAGUCUAGUAUCUGUUUAAGUAAUAAUAUACUGUAGUAUCUGUUGUCUGUUGACUCUGUUCAAUGCUUACAAUGCUUCUUUGUAAAUUGUUUGUCUUUAGUUUGAUGUUUACCUCACAAAUUGCAAUAAUUAUUCAGCAAGUUCUUUCUGUUCCUUUAUAAUUAUCAGGAAUAAGGAUUGUCAUUUGAGAUGAUCUUGUAACAAUCAACAUUCAUGUGUAUAAAGUUUUCGGAAUAUGUUAUGGUACAUUUUAAUAUAUAUUUGUUAUUAACUGUAGAUUACAAUACCUCCAGCUGGACUGGAGAUUUAUCUAUUAAAAUUUAUAAAUAAAAGAAUCUAUAUGAAC